rnacentral:SRP_RNA from 1 species
GCUGGGUGUGGUGCCGUGUACCUGUAAUCCCAGCUACUCAGGAGGCUGAGGCAGGAGAAUUGCUUGAACCCGGGAGGUGGAGGUUGCAGUGAGCUGAGAUCGCACCACUGCCCUCCAGCCUGGGUGAUAGAGCAAGACUCUAUCUCUG